rnacentral:rRNA from 1 species
AUUGAACGCUGGCGGCAUGCCUUACACAUGCAAGUCGAACGGCAGCACGGGUGCUUGCACCUGGUGGCGAGUGGCGAACGGGUGAGUAAUACAUCGGAACAUGUCCUGUAGUGGGGGAUAGCCCGGCGAAAGCCGGAUUAAUACCGCAUACGAUCUACGGAUGAAAGCGGGGGACCUUCGGGCCUCGCGCUAUAGGGUUGGCCGAUGGCUGAUUAGCUAGUUGGUGGGGUAAAGGCCUACCAAGGCGACGAUCAGUAGCUGGUCUGAGAGGACGACCAGCCACACUGGGACUGAGACACGGCCCAGACUCCUACGGGAGGCAGCAGAGGGGAAUUUUGGACAAUGGGCGAAAGCCUGAUCCAGCAAUGCCGCGUGUGUGAAGAAGGCCUUCGGGUUGUAAAGCACUUUUGUCCGGAAAGAAAUCCUUGGCCCUAAUACGGUCGGGGGAUGACGGUACCGGAAGAAUAAGCACCGGCUAACUACGUG